CAGUCGCCGCGGUAAUGCGAAGGGGGCUAGCGUUGCUCGGAAUGACUGGGCGUAAAGGGCGCGUAGGCGGUUUAUACAGUCAGAUGUGAAAUUCCUGGGCUCAACCUGGGGACUGCAUUUGAUACGUAUGGACUUGAGUGGAGAAGAGGGUCGUGGAAUUUCCAGUGUAGAGGUGAAAUUCGUAGAUAUUGGAAAGAACACCGGUGGCGAAGGCGGCGACCUGGUCUUUAACUGACGCUGAGGCGCGAAAGCGUGGGGAGCAAACAGGAUUAGAUACCCCCGUAGUCCCUGUCUCUUAUAC
rnacentral:rRNA from 1 species